rnacentral:tRNA from 1 species
GCGCCUGUAGCUCAGCUGGAUAGAGCAACUGCCUUCUAAGCAGUGGGUCGCGUGUUCGAAUCACGCCAGGCGCACCA